rnacentral:tRNA from 1 species
GGGGCCGUAGCUCAGCUGGGAGAGCGCUGCGUUCGCAAUGCAGAGGUCAGGGGUUCGAACCCCCUCGGCUCCA